rnacentral:rRNA from 1 species
UACGAAGGGUGCAAGCGUUACUCGGAAUUACCGGGCGUAAAGCGUGCGUAGGUGGUUUGUUAAGUCUGAUGUGAAAGCCCUGGGCUCAACCUGGGAAUUGCAUUGGAUACUGGCAGGCUAGAGUGCGGUAGAGGAUGGCGGAAUUCCCGGUGUAGCAGUGAAAUGCGUAGAGAUCGGGGAGGAACAUCUGUGGCGAAGGCGGCCAUCUGGACCAGCACUGACACUGAGGCACGAAAGCGUGGGGAGCAAACAGG